ensembl:lncRNA
CAGGACUAAACCAGAACUAAACAAGGACUAAACCAGGACUAAACCAGGACUAAACCAGAACUAAACGAGGACUAAACCCGGACUAAACCCGGACUAAACCAGGACUAAACCAGGACUAAACCAGGACUAAACCCGGACUAAACCCAGACUAAACCAGGACCAAACCAGGACCAAACCAGGACUAAACCAGGACUAAACCAGGUCUAAACCAGGUCUAAACCAGGUCUAAACCAGGACUAAACCGGGACUAAACCGGGACUAAACC